GUGCUACGUAUAUGGUAUCAGGUUUACUGGCCUCCAAGACACAACUGAGCACUAAAGUUAUUAAUUCAUUACUGGAAUCAAUUAUUAACAAUUCCAUUCCUAGUUUGAUUGAAGAGGCUGUACAGUGUAUGCUGCUAGUUGCUUCUAGUCCAGAUACUGUACAUUAAGAACUCUGACUAAAAAGUAUCCAUUAUAUUGCAUGUACAUGUACUUGUAUCAUAUUACAUGUAUACUCACAGUAUUUUUUGUAAUUGUAUUUAUGAUAUCAUUUUCUGCAUGUCCUGUUCAUAGGUUACAUAUGAACAUUAAAUUGUUAUAUGUUCAUAUCAAAAUUUAUAAUAAAAGUAGAGAAAUUUUUGAGCUAUAUUGCCCUGAGGUUUUAAUAACUUUCUGAUUAUGCAUGUACAUGUACAGUAUUUUAUCAAAAAAGGAUUCAUUUCUACCAGCACUGCAGGAACUAAGCACCCAUACUGACUUAUCCUACCUGUUGAGACCAAUAUUCAGGACAAUACUUCCAUCAAUUGACUUUGAGGGGGUCUGAAACUAAAGCAGAGGGUCUGGGACAGGUUUUAUAUGAUUUAUCCAGUAAGACUGCAUUAGAGGCAGCGACUGUUUCAUGUAAUUAUUACAAAGGAUUUAUUGGAGCAGUUCUGUACUAGUAAUAAAAGUGGUAAAAAGUCAGCUGCUAUGAAAUAUCCUUUUUUAACUGAA